rnacentral:misc_RNA from 1 species
CAACCAUCAAGCCCCGGGCUUGUGUUGGGGACCUGCGGCUGCCGCAGGCCCUGAAAAGCAGUGGCGGGCUCGCUGUCACACCGAGCGUAGUAGCAUACAUCUCGCUCUGGGCGUGCUGCGGGUUCCGGCCGUUAAACCCCCUUUAACCCAA